UUAAAGUAGAGGAAGAUGGGCACGGAUGUUAGCUCAGACCAGUCUUCCUCAGCAAAAAGAGGAGGAUUGGUGGCAGAUGUUAGCUCAGAGCUAAUCUUCCUAAAAAAAAAAAAAGGACUCUGACCAAGGUCAAAGGACCACUGUUAUCUUACUCAACUUCUCAGCUGCAUUUGACACAGUAGACCCCUUCUUCCUCCUGGAAACAAUUUUUUUCUUAAGCUUCUGUUAUGGACAGAACUGUGUUCCCCCAAAAUUUGUAAGUUGAAGCCUUAACCCCCAAUGUGGCUCUUUUUGGAGAUAGGGCCAUUUAAAGAGGUAAAUAAGGUUAAAUGAAUUCAUAAGGGUGGGGCCCUAAUCCAAUAUGACUAGUGUCCUUAUGAGAAGAGGAAGAGCCACCAGGGAUUUGUGAGCACAGAAGAAAGGCCGUGCGAGGCAGCUGUCUGCAACCCAAAGAGAGAGGCCUCAGGAGAAAGCAAACCUGCCAGCACCUUGAUCUUGGACUUCCAGCCUCCAGAACUGUGAGAAAAUUAAUUUCUGUUGUUGAAGUCCCACAGGCUAUGGUAUUUUGUUAUGGCAGCCCUAGCAAACUAAUGGAGCUUCUGUGUCACCACCCUUCCCUGGUUUUCUUCCCCCCUCACUAACACCUUCUCACAUCCUGUCCUACCCAGACUUGUAAAUGUUGGGGGCUCCGUCCUUUGCUCUUUCCUCUUUUCCUCUCCCUCUGCACCUUCUCUGUAGGUGAUCUCAUGGCAUCUCUAGCCCAGACCUCUCCUGAGCUCCAGGUACAUCUAUCCACCUACCUCCUGGACAGAUAUCUCAAAACUCACCUGGCUUUGGGAAGAUGAAAAAGUUCUGGUGGAGGAUGGUUGUGAUGGCUGCACAACAAUGUGAAUGUAUUUAAUGCCACUGAACUAUACACUAAAGAAUGGUUAAAUGGUAAAUUUAAUGUUAUAUAUAUUCCACCACAAUAAAAAAUUUGACUUUAUGAGAAAAUUUGAAAUUUGAACUCUGACUAGAUAUUUGAUUAUAUUCAAGAAUUAUUACUUAAAAGAAAACUAACGUGGCUAACAUUAAUACUCCCCACGCACACACAAAUUAAUUCUUCCCAAAGUCAUCCCCGUUGAGUUAAAUGGUUCCUUUAAGCAGCAAUUUGCCAAAGCCCAAACCUCCACUCAUGUACCUGUUUGCACAAGCCAAAAUCUAGUCUCAUCUAAUCCAUUGGUAAGUACUGUCAGGGCUCCUCCACAAUAUAUCCUGAGUCUGUCCCCUCUCACCUUGCCAUGUGAAGCAAGGUGCUGUUACUACUCCAGCAUCAUCUCUUGCUCAGACUACUCCCACAGCUUCCUAGCUGGUCUCCUUAUCUCCUUUUUUGGCCCUUUGUAGUCCAUCCUCCACCCAGCAGCCAGAGCAAUCCUUCUAAAGGAUAAGCCAGGUCUUGUUACUCCCUUGCUUAAAAGUAGCCCUUCAUGGAUUGCCAUUGCAUUCAGGAUAAAUUCCAAAUUCCCAACCAUGGCCUCUCAGGAGUAACACCAUCAAGGCCCUGCCCACUUCUCCAGCCUCAUCUUGUCCCACACUUGCCUUCACUCACCAGACUCCCUCCUGAUGGGCUGAUUUCACUUCCUCAAAUGCCCUGUCCUAGUUCCUAGGCCUUUGGCAGCCAACUCCAUUUCAUCCAUCAAGUGUCAACCCAAAUGUCCCUUCCUCUGUGGGGCCUUUACGACCCUGAUAUACAGAGUAAUCCUCCAUCUCCUUGAUUUUUGCUUUCAAAGUGCCUUGUGCUCAUCCUCUGUAGUUACUUACUACAACUGAAAUAUGUGAUCAAGAAAUUUUGGUUCUUGAGGCUGGCCGCAUGACAUAGUGGUUGAGUUUGGCAUGCUCCACUUCAGUGGCCUGGGUUCACAGGUUCAGAUCCCGGCACAGACCUAGACCACUCAUCAGCCAUGCUGUGGUGGCAACCCAUAUAUAACGUGGAGGAAGAUUGGCACAGAUGUUAGCUCAGGGCUAAUCUUCCUCAGCAAAAAAAAAGAAAAAGAAGAAAUUUUGGUUCUACAUCCAUAUCCUCUCACUGGAAUAUAAACUUCAUGAAAGAUAGCACUUGUCUGGUUCAUCCAAGCAUUCAGCUCAGAGUCUCAAAUGUUGUAGAAUCUCAAUAACUAUUUGGGGAAUGAACAAAUGGUCUUUGCCUGAUACUAUUGAAUCUUAUUAUAUAACUUAUCAAUAAAUAUUGGUAAAAUUUAUUGACUUCUUAUUAAGUGUCCAGUACUGUACCAAACAUUUUACAAACAUUAUUUGACUUAAAAUAAUGCUCCUAUGUUACUGUCCCCAUUUGGGAGAUGAGAAAACAGGGACAGAGAAGUGAAGUCUUGUGCCCGAGGUCACACAGCUGAAAGGGUAGAGCCAGGAUUCAAACCCAUGAAGCCCAACUCCAGAGCCUGCAGACUUACCCACUUCACCUUAGAGUUCUGCCUCCCUGAAUUGGCAUUCUGAUUUUAUACAUCAGUCCCAGACGCUUGUUUGAUGUGACGCCUCCCUGAGAAACCAAGGCCUGAUCCUGGACCCUGGUGAAUUCACUAAGAUAAUAAAUGUCACCCUGGAAGGCCUCUUGGUGACCAAUCAGCCUCCCCUAAGGACCUCUGAUCCCAUCUACAUUUGAACACCACCAAUGGCAGGAAUUACACGAAGUAGAAUUUAUCAAAAUUCCUACUACAAACCUAUAAGCAGCACUACAAGUAGCAAAUACAUCUAUGUGUGAAGUGGCACGUUUAUGUAUCCUGACUAUCAGGAAUAGAACUUUUUUUUUCCUAAGGAAGAUUCACCCUGAGCUAACAUCUGAGCCAAUCUUCCUCUAUUUUGUAUGUGGGUUGCUGGCACAGCAUGGCCGCUGACAAGUGGUGUGGGUCCACA